ACAAUGGAUAUCUCAGCUCUCACAUCGAUGAAGAACGUAGUGAAAUACGAUACUUGGUGUGAAUUGUAGAAUCCCAUGAAUCAUCGAGUCUUUGAAUGCAAGUUGCGCCCGAAGCCAUUAGGCUGAGGGAACGUCUGCUUGGGUGUCACGC
rnacentral:rRNA from 1 species